CAGUAGUCAUACGCUUUUUUUCAAGACUAAGCCAUGCAAGUGCAAGUUCAUGCUGAACAAAAAAACGGUUGAUGGCUCAUUAAAACAGAUAUAAUCCCCCAUGGUUGUUGAUCUUACUUGGAUACCUGUAGUAAUUCUAGAGCUAACACAUGACUUACGGCCACUUUUGUGGCUGUGCAUAUUAGUGUAAAACCAACCCCUCGUGGUCUUUAUGGUGAUUCAGAGUAUGUAGGCAUAUUGUUUGCAAAAGCAAAGAACCAUUGGUGUUUCUGCCCCAUCAGCUUUGGAUGGUAGGAUAUUUGCCUACUAUGGCUUCCACGGGUAACGGAGAAUCAGGGUUUGAUUCCGGAGAGGGAGCCUGAGAGAUGGCUACCACAUCCAAGGAAGGCAGCAGGCGCGAAAAUUACCCAAUCUUACAACAAGGAGGUAGUAAAGAGACGUAACAAUGACCAAUCCUUAGUGUUUGGUCAGUUGGAAUGAAGUGUAGGUAAAUAUACCAUUGAGAAUCAAUUGGAGGGCAAGUCUGGUGCCAGCAGCCGCGGUAAUUCCAGCUCCAAUAGCGAAUACUAAUGUUGUUGCAGUUAAAAAGCUCAUAGUUGAAACUUGUACUCUGUGUGCUGCCCCUUUUGGGGUUUGUUACUCAGGGUUGCUUCUCUGGUUGGCAUCGUGAUGCAUUUAUUUGCAGAGCGUUGUUUGACCUUCUGUUACUGUGAAAAAAUUAGAGUGUCCAAAGCAGGUAUAUUUCGCUGAAUGUAUUAGCAUGGAAUAACAGAUGUAAUACAUGUGUGCUUUUGUUGGUUAUGCAUUUUUGUAUUGAGAAAGACAGGGAGAGUUUGGGGUACUUGUAAUUUGAAGUCAGAGGUGAAAUUCUUGAAUCUUUGAAAGACAAACAUAUGCAAAGGCAUUUACCAAGGAUGUUCCCGUUAAUCAAGAACAAUAGUUAGGGGAUCAAAGAUGAUUAGAUACCGUCGUAGUCCUAACCAUAAACAAUGCCAACUGAGGAUCAGCAGAGUCUUCACAUAGUUUCUGCUGGCACUCUAGAAGAAAUUUUUAGUUUUUGGGUUCUGGGGGGAGUAUGGUCGCAAGGCUGAAACUUAAAGAAAUUGACGGAAGGGCACCACCAGGAGUGGAGCUUGCGGCUUAAUUUGACUCAACACGGGAAAACUUACCAGGUCCAGACAUGAGUAGGAUUGACAGGUUGAUAGCCCUUUCUUGAUGUUAUGGUUGGUGGUGCAUGGCCGUUCUUAGUUGGUGGAGUGAUUUGUCUGGUUUAUUCCGUUAACGAACGAGACCCGUGCCUGCUAAAUAGUCGAUGUUGCGCUCGUCGCAGCACUUGGCUUCUUAGAGGGACUUGCAUCUAUUCAGUUGAGGGAAGAAAGGGGCAAUAACAGGUCUGUGAUGCCCUUUGAUGUUCUGGGCCGCACGCGCGCUACACUGAUGCAUUCAACAGGUUGCUUGGUUGGAAAGCCAGGCGAAUCCUUCAAUAUGCUUCGUGAUAGGGAUAAAUCUUUGCAAUCACCGAUUUUGAACGAGGAAUUCCUGGUAAGUGCAAAUCAUCAUUUUGCACUGAUUACGUCCCUGCCCUUUGUACACACCGCCCGUCGCACC
rnacentral:rRNA from 1 species